CCAGUGACUCCCUAUGAUCUGAGAUUCAUUUUUACAUCUCUGCUUGCUGCUGCUGCAGAAAAGCUAUGAUGAGGUGACUCACUGGCACACUCAUUUAUGAGCCAUCUGAAACAUCACAUUUUUCAUGCCCAGUUCUGCAGAUCCCUGUUCCUGUAAUGACUAAUUAAAUGAGCUUUCCCCCUGCCCCGCUCCCAGUUUUCUUUUGCACUCUUUUCUCUAAGAGUUCAAGUCUUUUAACUCUAAAAGUUGAAGGCUCUAGUCUUUUAAUACUCUUCAACCUUGCUCAAGGCUUAAGACAAGGUCUGUGUAUCUGCUUGCCUGACCUUGUUUAUGUGAAAUUUGAUGCUGGUUACCCCUGAUGUUUAUCUGAUCCAGCCUCCAGGCCUCUCACAGCAAUGUGGAUAUUUGAGCCAGGCAUUCUUGGCUUCUUUUGCCAGCAGCCAAGAGAAAUAGGCAUGUUUAAGGUGGGAUUGACUCUCCUUCAUGUAGCAAGGUCUGCAGCAGGCUGAUAAGACCCCACACUAUUAUUAGGAUCCCCACAAUCAUAUGUGUUGCAUCAAACAUGUCCUAAAAUCAAGGGGACAUUUGCAAUGAAUUUUAUAAUGUCUUUUCAUUACUGGCUAUGGUAGACAUGUUUGUCAGCAUAAUCACAGUGAGUGCAGUCUGCUGGGGGACAGCAAAUCUCUGGGAGUGUGUCCCACCAAUAUUUCACUCAAAAUAAGUCACAGAAAACAUCUUUUCAUUUAAAGACUGAGCCUGGCCCCUAUAGCCCCUGUGGAGGUGAAUGUCUUUAGUGCUUGCUGUUCGUUAUAGAACAGAAAAUUAGGAUAAAAAGCAAUUCUAGAUUUCCCCUGAAGCCACUUCACCCUUGUCCUUGUUAAUGCAUUGCUUUCUCUCUAAUGCUUUUAACCUAGUAAACUUCAGAACAGUAAGAAUUUAAUAGUGACAUAAGUGCACUUCCAUUUGGGGACAGAAAUAAACUAUAAUGAUGUCAGGAUGUUUAUAUGAAAAUAUUUGUGGCUUUUCCUGGUAGGAUGCCUCUGCAAAAGAAAACCUCAUGCAAACAAGAAAAGUUCAUACCCCUAAUUAAAGCAGUAAUAAACUUUACAAGGGAUUAUAACACCAAAGGCCAGGCUGACAUCCCUGAACUCCUACUGACAAAGCUUGCUGCCUGUUGCCUUGCUUUCAGCUGUGCCAAAAAUCCUCCUGACAAGUGAACUGGAAGCACUUUCACAGGCACAACCGCAGUGUCAUUCAGCUGCUCCAGCGCCACUGCAGUGAUGCUGCCAUGCCCUAGCUCUGCUCUGCUUGAAGUGUUAAACACCACCCUAGGCCUACAAAAGGAUUUCUUUAUUAAAACUAACUUUAGGGCUAAGAAAGGGCUCAUUGGUCUCUAAUCAGAGGAAAGAAAGAGGUCUGUAAAAGGGCAUCUUAGCAACCAGUAUCUCUUCCGCAUCAACAUUUCUCACACAUUUUGGAAAGGCUUCUCUUUCUGCUACCAUUCUCAGCAAACAGAUUGCUGGCCAGUUAAAGUCUCAUCUCAAAAUAAGAAAGGCUUGGGUUGACCUGGGGUUGCAUCCCAGAGAAGGAAAUUCCUUGGCUCGGCUCAGAUUGCCACGGAAGGAAACACUGCAGGCACUGUCGGGUAGAAGGGAUAAUGAGCAAAAAGAGAAUCCAGCAGGGAAAAGAAAUGCUGGUUGCUGGAGGGGAUAAUAUUGCAGCACUGCUGGGGUGAAAGGCAAAGCCAGGAAAAGCCCUGGUCCCUCUCUCCCACUUGGUGCUGCGAUGCAGGGCAGGGAUGGGCAGCCCUGGGGAUACAUUACAGGAGAUUCUGUGACAUCUGUAUCUGCAAGCCAGAGAGCUCUCAGCAAAGCAAGGCAGUAUGAACUGCUGCCACAUUCACCUGCUCCAGGGUCCAUCAGUCCAUGCUAAGUAUUCCUCAUGUGUCCUGUAGUUGUCAGCUUAUGGAGAUCACAUGUGCUACUAUGCAAGGCUUAAAAUAAUAUUCAACAGAGGUGAAUGAUAGCUUUUUGCUGAUAACAAAAAAUGCAAAAACAACAAAAUGCGUUUCUGCUUGUGUCUUAAAACACCGCAUACUUCCUACUAAUUAUUUUUAUGGUUUCUCACUCAGCCCACCCUUGAAAGCAAAGACUAAACCUGCAGUAUUUUCUCUUGGUCUGGCCACAGAGCUGUAUUUGUAUUGCUGCUUCACCGAGGCAGCAUCUAAAUGUCCAGGACCUCACAGCCUUUAGCCACAAUCUCUCAGCAACAAGCCUUGCAGCAGAGUGUUCAAAAACAACACACAUUCCAAAGAUGCCCCUUUUUUAAAAAAAACAGAAAUAGAAACAAAAGGGAAACAAAAAUAGAAAGAAUAGACAAUGCAAAUUUAAGUCAAAGUAAAAACAUACAGAAGGAACAUCCAAAGCAUGGAGAAGGUCCAAAGAUGCCUCCAAGUAAUCCUGCAACUGGGUUUUCAGGUUAUAUGCUUUUGCAGGAAGAAUUUUUCAUAAAUCUAUUACAGCACCAAAACCACAUCUUAAGCUACAUCUUAAGCAAGUCAUUUGGCAGCACAGGGAAGGGUAAAACUGGCAUGUAUUGGCUCAAAGCACUUGGUUUUGAACUGGCUCACCAGCCUCGCUGGCAAACAACGCUGCUCUCAGCUUUCAGUGCUGAUUUAUCCUGGCACAGGCACAAUUCUGGCACAACUUCAGUGUUAUUAACGAGAGAGCGUGAUUUAACUUUUGUACAUUUCUAGGAAGAGCAGUUUCAUUUCUGCUCUCAGGAUAAGACAUCUUCCACAUGCAGGAAGUGUUGGUGGUCUUACUGCAGUGGAGAGGAUGGCAGGGCAAGACAUGAGCACCCACUGCUCCUUGCUGUAACAAAUGCCCAGAUUUACAGAGAAAAAGUGCAUGGACAUUCUUCUCCCCAGAGCUGUUGAACCAAAAUAAUCUGAUUUAACAAUGAAUUGGAGUGACCUGUCUUGAUAACUACUGCUCAAAAGCAAACCUGAGCCUGAGGGUGGGGGAAAAGAAAGAAAUAACAAAGAAGAUGGUUUGGACCUGCACAGAAGAUGAUCUGGUCACGCGUGAUCUACACAUCUGGCCAUAUGAUGGCAGAGAGGAAAGGAUGAAGGUGAAAGUAAGGGAUUGCUUGAGAGAUCUGAUUGCAGCCCUCCUGUGAGGAGGUCACUGAAAAGAAGGAGCCUCCUCCUGGGGUCCAUGGUGGGAGGAUGAAGAAACAAUGGGCAUCAGUUGAAACACAAGAGAUUCUGAUCAGAUAUAAGGAAAAGCUUUUUUACUGUGACAACAUUCAAGCAGCGAGGCAGCUUGCCCGGGGAGGUUGUGCAAACUCUGUCCUUGGAUAUUUUCAAGUCCCAGCUGGAUAAGAUCUUGAGUAAUCUGGUCUGACGUCAGAGCCACCCCUGCUUUAAGGAGAUGGAAGAAGAGACCUCCUGAAAUUCAUUCUCAUCCAAAUUACUGUACGUUUCCAAUGUGUGUAAUUUCUCUGCAGAGUAGCUUAUCUCCUCUGCAGAGUACCUUAUCUACAAAAUGGUAGACAGUGUGGCUUGAAAGUUUGCUUAACUGGUAAAGAAUGGGACAACACAGAAUGUGGUCUGUGGUGUAUACAUACUUCCUAUUCAACAAUUGUUUUUUUAGGUCCCUGCUUCACAUAUACCAGAGGUUACAGAGAAUGAACUAAGCAAACAGGGU